rnacentral:rRNA from 1 species
AUGUGCCUGGAGAAGAUUGGAGAAGUCUCUUACAAAUUACAUCUUCCAGAGGGCAACAAUAUACAUCCAGUGUUUCAUAUCAGUCAACUGAAGAAGCACAUAGGCCAUCAAGCUGUUCCAUUACCACACGUCCCACUAGUGACUCCAAAAGGAUAUGUCAAGACCAUUCCAGUGGCAGUUUUAGACCGAAGAGUCAUACAAACGAACAAAACACCAGUGAGGCAAUGUCUAGUAUAG